AUACGGAAGGUCCGGGCGUUAUCCGGAUUUAUUGGGUUUAAAGGGAGCGCAGGCGGAGAUGCAAGCGUGACGUCAAAUUUCGGGGCUCAACCCCGUCUCGCGUCGCGAACUGCGUCCCUUGGUUGCGGGAAGGGGAGGCGGAACUCGUGGUGUAGCGGUGAAAUGCAUAGAUAUCACGAAGAACUCCGAUCGCGAAGGCAGCCUUCCGGCCCGUCAACGACGCUCAUGCUCGAAGGUGCGGGUAUCAAACAGGAUUAGAUACCCUGGUAGUCCGCACAGUAAACGAUGGACACCCGCGGUUUGGCCUAUAUGGCUGAGCCGCCGAGCGAAAGCGUUAAGUGUCCCACCUGGGGAGUACGCCGGCAACGGUGAAACUCAAAGGAAUUGACGGGG
rnacentral:rRNA from 1 species